CAGCGAAAUAAAUUCUAGACCUGGUCAUUUUACCCGAACACUCAUCUGUUAUAAAUGUUUGCGAUCUAUCUCUUGAUAGCAGGGAGUUCACUGCAAUUGUCGAAAAGUCUUCACAUUUACCUGCCAAGGUAUGAAGACACUCAGCAUUGAGAGACCCCAUACUGUUCCACAGAACCUCAGCCAGUUUGAUUCUGGUAUCACCGUAUCACCAUUAUGCUUCUAAUUCAAGCUCACGUUGUAGAGGGUGCUGAUGUCUGCAAAUGCAUUACUCCGGAUGUCCUUGACGUUGAGGUGGAAAGAAUGUCAGUCAUGAUCUAUGAAGAUAACCUUGGAGUCCUCUGAUUUGAGUGACCUAAUCUUUCUGUUUUUUUUUUGUUUUGAGUUGUUGUGGAGGACCAUCCUCUCAUGGGUCGGUCAUUUGCAUAAAACUUUGGUACUGAUUUCUCUAUGUGUAAUAACGCAUCCUCGUUCUCUCUAAUGACCUUCCUUUU